UAUCUUUCCAUACAUAACCGA
rnacentral:sRNA from 1 species